ensembl:lncRNA
GGCUGAGGGUCACCCAUCGCACCGCAGUCGCUGAAGUUGUCACGACACCCUGACACUUCCUUGGCAAUGGUGGCCGCAAGCCGGACAGCCUCGGACGUUCAAGACACACACGUCAGCUGCCACGGCAAGGUCGACAAACAAACAAACAAACAAACAAAGAAACAGAAGGAAUUAGUAGAGAGAAAAAACAGAGCAGGUGAAACGUGGCAGAGUGUUUUUAUCGCUGCGAGGCUGAUUGCGUGUAGCAGCCAUUACUCUCCGUUGUGUCCUCUGCCCCCCAUUGGCCGCGACAACACCGCCUGGCAGGCCUGCCAGUGUCACGUCAUCUCAUACGUCUGCUUAACCACACGGGCGACAAAGGCCACGUCGCACCCGGACCGCGCUGCCGCUCCUUCCCGCUCGCGGCGCCGAAGGUCGUUCACACUUGAUUUGAUAAAAAAAAAUAUUUUCUGUGAGUGAGUUUAAAUAACAUCCUGUAGCUUUUAUUAUCUCCACGGAGGGGUGGUGGGGGUGUGUGAAACAAACAUCCUCACAAAACAAUAUUCAGAAUUGCGCGGUUGCACACUCAUUACCACUUCUUUAACUUUUAGUGUGAUUAUCUGACCAAGUGGAACAUCCCCAACACCGAAUAAGCAUCUAUUGUCUAUUGUCUGCAGGUCAUUGCCUCUUUGUGGAUUGGGAGCUUUGAUUGAUGGCACUUUUAGAUUUUAGACAUGUCGAGAAUAUCGAGAAUUAUGGAAAAACUAAAACUCUGCACACUGACUACGUCCAGUGGGGAGGCAUUCCAUUCUUAAGCCUUUCUUCUUUUUAUAUUAUUUAUUAUUAUAUAUAUAUGAUAUGCUUUUCUAUAGUAUUACCAAUCAUGC